CUGCUGCAGACCCAGUGCUUGUGUAGGUGGCACAGGGAUGAGCUGAUCCUGUCCCCGUUCAGGUACGCACAUCGGCCUCCACCUCGCAGCUCAAACCUGUGCCCAAGAGGGAGGAGAAUGGGAAAGCUGCCCCGAUGCACUGAGAAAAGCUGGGGCUGCCUUUUCUGGGGAAGGAAGGGCAGAAAGGGCUCAUGGUGGAGCACCAAGCCUGAGCCUGGCGGGCCACGGUAAACCUCGGCUGUGGCACCAGGAGAAGGUCCCCAUCCCAAAGAGAGCCUGUGGGAAGUCAUGGCCUGGACAGCUGGACAGACAGACUGACCAGUUGGUGAAGGCUGUGCCAUCGCUCCAUGUCCACUGGGCGUCCUCUUCUUCCCUGUGCAGCCCGAUCCAACAGUUUGCCGGGCCCUGGAAGCGCAUCAUGAAAUCCUUUAAAGGAAGAGAGUGUUGAAUGUCAGGAGGUUUUAGCAUCUGUCCCACCCACAUCUCAGGCUCCAGCAGGCUGCAAGGCGCUGCGUUCUGCUGCAUGGAAGAAGCUUGUUUGUGCUUCCAUGGCACAAGAGCUGCCCCCGGAGGUGCACAUCUUGGGAUGUCCCCCAGAUGGAUGAGGGAGGGGUGGGGGGCAGUAAUGUGCUGCUGUCCCUCCCCAGCCUGGUGUCUUCCCCAGAGCUUUGGGCUCGUGUCUUCGUCUCACCAUCUCAUCUUCACUGUCUAUAGAGGCCAGGGAAGCUCCGUGGGCAUUGCAGUGCUCCCUGCUGCUGUUCCAAUCAUUCUCCUCCUUCGAAAAAUAAUAGCAUUUCCCCUGGAAUCCGACCCAGGCGUUGGGGCACGCGUGGGCAAAGUCUGGGAAAGGUGGCACAGGGACCUGCCGACAUGCUGAAAUGAGGAAUUGGACAAAUGUGAGGCAAAGGGCAGGAAAUCUGCAUUUCUCUCACCUCCCUCCAACAGAGGUUGGGUAUGGGCUGCACUGUGUUGUGCUGCAGCCCCGGGUGCAGUUGCAGAUGUUGGGAAGGUUGAGCAGAGCGUGGUGUAGGGCACCGAAUGGCUGCCCCAUAGCACGUGGGAGCAGGGCUGUGCUUGGGGAGCACAUCCAUGUGCUGGAAACCCCAAAUCCCUGCUCUGUACCCAAACCUGAAACAUUCUCUCACCAUGGGGACACUUCUUGGCACUCACCGGUCGAUAUCACCACCAGCACAAGGCUAAGGGUUCCCAGUGCUGCACAUGCAGCAAUGAGCUGCACACGGGAUCUCCUCCUUCCUGUCCCAUGGCACCAGGAGCCUGGGGGGCAGAGAGUGGGUGGGGACACGCCCUUCUACUCCUGUUCCCCCCCAUGCCCUCCUUCCUGCUCAGUCCCCACCAUUACCCCAUUGGGAUCGUUCUCCACUCUGCCCAAGGGGCUGCAGUGCUGCUUUGUGCUCUGAAAAUGUUUCCUGUUGGUCUCCUUCUCCCAUAGCGGGUGUGGAAGUAUUGGACUCCAGCACCGAUAUGUGCACAUCCUCUUCUGGGAGCUGGGGGUCAGAACUGGAGGGCAGAUGUUGGUAGAAGUGGUUUUCCUCUUUAUGUUUCCCUUUUUUCCACCCAUUCCACUCUUUUGCUCCCCAUCCCCAGCCUUACCUUGUUGGGAUCCUUCUCCUCUGGUGUGCUGGGGGUUCUGGUGCUGCUUUGUGCUCUGACGAAUGGUUCAGUCGUUCUCCCUCUGCAGGCGUGGAAACCUUGUGCUUCAGUAUUGGUAUUUGCACAGACUGCUGUGGGGUGGACAGUUAGGAUGGGGGGGAUAGAAGGAAGGACUGAAGGAGGGGCUCGGGAGGAUUAGAAAGGAGGUAGAAAAAGGAGAGAGGAAGGGGAGUGGAAAGAAGGAAAGAGAGAGGAGCAAGAGGAGCAGGAAGGAGUUCAGUGCAGUGUGAAAUGUGAAGACGUGAAGCCAAAGAUGGUGUUGGUACCAUUCAGCUGAGCAGCGUGUGCAGGCAGAGGAUCUGUCUGGGGAAGCCAAACCACGCCUACAGAGCAUUCCUGUGGACAUGCUACAUCUUUCAAAGUUCAUUUUGUUUGGUUCACACAGUUGGUGGGAGGUCCUUCGCAGUACAGAGCCCAACCCACACAGCUGUGCUUGGCUCUGAGCCAUCAUGGGGGGAAAGGAGAACCCGCACCUGUUGGUUAUACCCAAGGAAUUGAUCCAGACACUAUCUCUGAUCAAAGCGGGCUUUAUUCACCACUGCAAUGCCGGCUGUCCCGCAUACAGCAGCGCACACAGAAAGCAGCGUUAUGUCUCUUAUGCCCAGCACCACGGUGAAGCCCUUUGCUCCCUGGGCCCUCCUCGCCCACCUUGGAGCUCGGGCUGAUGUUUGCAGCUUUGUGAGAAACACGCUCCAGGUCUACAAUUUCGAAUCAGGCCGAGAUCUCUGCGAAGAGCAGUGUGUCCAUGAUUGCAACAACGGGCGCACGCCCCCUACUGCCAAGGCAGAAAUUGCGCUCCUGAUCAGUGAAAUCCACUCCGUUAUCUCCCCUGGGUCCAACACAGGCAAAGCCUCUCCUGGCACUCAUUGGUUGAGCAUCUCAGGCUCACAAUGGUCCGAAGCUGUUGCUCCAUUAUGUUUCCAUACAACGUCUGUUAGCAACCCAUUGUCUUUGGGUAUGUUCUGUACCUUUUAGGGAGAUAGGAGGACAACAUUUCCAACAGUCUGCACACUCCUUCUG
rnacentral:lncRNA from 1 species